rnacentral:rRNA from 1 species
UACAGAGACUGCAAGCGUUAUUCGGAAUUACUGGGCGUAAAGCGUGCGCAGGCGGUUUUGUAAGCCAGAUGUGAAAUCCCCGGGCUUAACCUGGGAAUGGCAUUUGGGACUGCAAGGCUGGAGUUUGGCAGAGGAGACUGGAAUUCCCGGUGUAGCAGUGAAAUGCGUAGAUAUCGGGAGGAAUACCGAUGGCGAAGGCAGGUCUCUGGGCUAUAACUGACGCUCAUGCACGAAAGCGUGGGGAGCAAACAGG